rfam:Ciona savignyi cont_37978, whole genome shotgun sequence.
AAUAUACCCGAUCUCGUCUGAUCUCGGAAGUCAAGCAAUCUCGGGCUUGGUUAGUACUUGGAUGGGUGACCGCUUGGGAAUACCAAGUGUGAUAAGCA